CAAGAAAAUAGUGAUUUUACAGUGGUUAUUCCAUCGAUUUAGGGAGUAUUAUGAAGUUUUACUAAAUUAAUUGAUAAAAACAAUUGAACUAUGCUCAUUUACCAUGAAAAAGAUUUAACAUACAUUAAUACAAAUUUAGAAUAUGGUUAGAAAUUUUAAAACAACACUAAAGAUUAUAGGCUUCAGUAUAUAAAUUACUUACCAAAAACUCAAUAUUUUCGUAGGGGUUAACACAUAAAUUUUGAGAAAAUUUCAAAAAGUACGACAAUAUUGUUUUAAUGCCUAGUUGCAUCCUGUAGUAACAUUUGAUGAUCUUCAAAGAGGUUUGGA
rnacentral:lncRNA from 1 species